CAGCGGCGGACGGGUGAGUAAUGCCUAGGAAUCUGCCUGGUAGUGGGGGAUAACGUCCGGAAACGGGCGCUAAUACCGCAUACGUCCUGAGGGAGAAAGUGGGGGAUCUUCGGACCUCACGCUAUCAGAUGAGCCUAGGUCGGAUUAGCUAGUUGGUGGGGUAAAGGCCUACCAAGGCGACGAUCCGUAACUGGUCUGAGAGGAUGAUCAGUCACACUGGAACUGAGACACGGUCCAGACUCCUACGGGAGGCAGCAGUGGGGAAUAUUGGACAAUGGGCGAAAGCCUGAUCCAGCCAUGCCGCGUGUGUGAAGAAGGUCUUCGGAUUGUACAGCACUUGAAGUUGGGAGGAAGGGCAGUAAGUUAAUACCUUGCUGUUUUGACGUUACCAACAGAAUAAGCACCGGCUAACUUCGUGCCAGCAGCCGCGGUAAUACGAAGGGUGCAAGCGUUAAUCGGAAUUACUGGGCGUAAAGCGCGCGUAGGUGGUUCAGCAAGUUGGAUGUGAAAUCCCCGGGCUCAACCUGGGAACUGCAUCCAAAACUACUGAGCUAGAGUACGGUAGAGGGUGGUGGAAUUUCCUGUGUAGCGGUGAAAUGCGUAGAUAUAGGAAGGAACACCAGUGGCGAAGGCGACCACCUGGACUGAUACUGACACUGAGGUGUGAAGCGUGGGGAGCAAACAGGAUUAGAUACCCUGGUAGUCCACGCCGUAAACGAUGUCGACUAGCCGUUGGG
rnacentral:rRNA from 1 species